AGGUUCCGAGGCCGGACUCAGGGAGCCGUUGGGAGGCAGUUGGGCGUGGCAACGGACGCGAUCCGAAGGCCACGCCCACUCCGGACUGGAGGGCGGGGCUCUCUAGCGGAAGCGCACCCUUCGAGUCCUGGAUCACGGACUUUGCCUCCUAGCUGCUACGGGGUCGCGGAAUGGAAAGACCCUCCCCGGAUGAGGGCCUCCCGCGUCUAGAAGCCAGAGGAUUGGAGCGGCCAUAUAGGUACACUGAGGGUCGCGGCGGUUGCCUGCGUGGAGACCCGUGCCGCGAGGAGCUCGGAGGAGCUCCGCGCAGCCGCCGCCGCUGCAGAGGCCCCAGGCGCGGGUCUGCAGGGCAGUGCGUGUCCCCAUGUGACCCGCGCGCUGCGGGGACCUAAGGGCACGUCUGGGAGCUGCCACCUCUGCAGAGGACGGGAGUCUGCAAGGCCUGCGCGACAAGACGCCGGCACCUCGGCUCUGCAUCCGUGCAGGGCUGGGAACUCAAGAGGAAGGAAGCACCGCUCUCGUCGCCUUCCUAGAGGCGGGGUGAAGGGGGGGGUGAGGGACGGACUGGAGGUGGCCAGCCAGUGUCUGCACAGCAGGAUGCGGAACUGUCGCCCGGCAUCUUCCCCUCGGCGCUCUGAGGGGACGAAGUGAUCUCCGCUUUGCAUCUCAGGUGCUGGAAAACAGGAACGCCUCACCGAGGAGGAAGGGAGGCGCCAAGGUCACCGGGAGUUUUAGGUCAAGCCAAGAAACGAAGGAUGUCAAGUAUAAGGGCUGCGGUCCUCCGUCCUUCGGUGACCCCUAAAGAUGGACCGAUGGAGGGGGAGGGCGGGCUCCGAGUUUAGCGCAGUAUACGAAAGUGGCCUCGGGAGAAAUAACUUCCGUUUUGUGUCCUAACCUUAAAAAUCCAGACUUGAAACAGAAGGGAAACAGGUAAUGAAAACCACGUGUACUCCUGAUAGCUGCUCAACACCUGUCAAUUUUAAAUUUGUUAUACUUCUAGGGGUUACUGGGAGAGGCGGGGAACCAGGCAUUUAAUUCCAACGCUCUGGAGUUCCGUGCCAGCUUGGUCUACACAGUGAGUUCCAGACUAGCAAGGACUACGCUCUCACUAUGGAGCCUGCUCUGGAUCUCACUAUGCAAUUCUGCCUAGUUGGAAACUCACAGUGGAGACCAGGCUAGCCUCAAAUUCACAGAGAUCUGCCUGAGUCUGCCCCCAAGAGCUGGAAUUAAGUGCAUCAUCCUGCCCAGCAGACCUGCUGUCUUGUUUAUUCAGUGGGGACCACUGCCAAGAGUCAGUCCUCUUCUUCCACUGUCCUGGGGAUCAUCUAGGCUUGGCUGGGACUUCCUGAAACUGCAAAGCACAGGUGGAACUGUGGCUGACGAGGGUCAGGCGGCUGAGAGAUGGACAUUCUCCACCCAAAUGAGCUUGGGCCUUCUCAGAAGGUCCCUGGUUUUCCAAUGAGAAGAUUCUUGAAGUCAUCAGAAACAGAAAUGGAGCCUUGAUGUCUAGCAGAUAACACCAGCUUUCCGUGGAACAUAAACAGCAUCGGAUUUCCUGACCCUGACACCCAGCUAGGAAGAGCAUGACCUUCAGCUCUGCCCCGGACUUGCUGCAUGACCUGGGACAGCGAUACAACCCUCUGUGAGAUACUCUCAAUCGGCCUAGUCCAUCACAGCUGGAUGUGCAGCCACAGACAGGGUAGGAGUGGUUCCAACAGCCAGAAAGACAUUCUUGAGGGAUAAGCCUGAACCUGAGGCUCCUUGGAGAUGCAAACAACCCCGGGAAUAGAGGGUGCCGAUUUUUUGUUUGUUUGUUUGUUUAAUCUGCAAGUGAGAGGAAUGAGUGUGCCAUGCCGCAACAGUAGUGUGGAGGUCAAAAGAACAACCUACAGGAGUUCUACCACGGGGGCUCCGAGAAUCGGGCUCAGGUAGUCAGGCUUGGCGGCAAGCGCCUCUGCCCGCUGAGCCAUCUCCUGGUCUAGAGAGUACAGAUUUAAAAGUCCCUGGAGUGAUACAGAACUGUCAGCCUGGCAAAGCAGCGCGGAGGCGUGGCUAGAGGGAGGACUAGUGGGGCGUGGAGCAUGCACAG